rnacentral:ncRNA from 1 species
CUUUGAAAAGGGCAAACUGGUUGAAAGACCAGGACGCAAAGCCACGGGACUUCGAGCUGAACCCCGACAGCUCAUGUUAGCCGGGCUACCAAA